rnacentral:rRNA from 1 species
UGCAAGUCGAACGGCAGCACGGGUGCUUGCACCUGGUGGCGAGUGGCGAACGGGUGAGUAAUACAUCGGAACAUGUCCUGUAGUGGGGGAUAGCCCGGCGAAAGCCGGAUUAAUACCGCAUACGAUCCACGGAUGAAAGCGGGGGACCUUCGGGCCUCGCGCUAUAGGGUUGGCCGAUGGCUGAUUAGCUAGUUGGUGGGGUAAAGGCCUACCAAGGCGACGAUCAGUAGCUGGUCUGAGAGGACGACCAGCCAC